rnacentral:rRNA from 1 species
GACAGAGGAUGCAAGUGUUAUCCGGAAUCACUGGGCGUAAAGCGUCUGUAGGUGGUUUAAUAAGUCAACUGUUAAAUCUUGAGGCUCAACUUCAAAAAUCGCAGUCGAAACUAUUAGACUAGAGUAUAGUAGGGGUAAAGGGAAUUUCCAGUGGAGCGGUGAAAUGCGUAGAGAUUGGAAAGAACACCAAUGGCGAAAGCACUUUACUGGGCUAUCACUGACACUGAGAGACGAAAGCUAGGGUAGCAAAUGGG